CUCCACCAACUAGCACAUCCCAAUUGCGAAUAUUGUACUCCUGGGAUCAAAAGUUGGAGCUGUCUUAGAACCAUGUUAGAUUAAGGAGCCAUACCUGGGGGAAAGAGUAAGAGUGUGAGGUCUGUGAAAAAUCUCUUGUUGGGCCGGGCGCGGUGGCUCAAGCCUGUAAUCCCAGCACUUUGGGAGGCCGAAGCGGGUGGAUCAUGAGGUCAAGAGAUCGAGACCAUCCUGGUCAACAUGGUGAAACCCCAUCUCUACUAAAAAUACAAAAAAUUAGCUGGGCAUGGUGGUGCGUGCCUAUAAUCCCAGCUACUCAGGAGGCUGAGGCAGGAGAAUUGCCUGAACCCAGGAGGCGGAGGUUGCGGUGAGCUGCGAUUGCACCAUUGCACUCCAGCCUGGGUAACAAGAGUGAAACUCCAUCUCAAAAAGAAAAAUCUCUUGCUUCCAAGGCUUGUUGAAUUUUAAUAUUUUUGACCUGUAGAGAAUCAGAGAUGGAGAGGAUAUGUAAAUAAGGCUAGCAUUUCAGCAACAAUUCUUCAAUCAUACAUAGGGAUGGAGACCAAAAAAAGUCACAACCUCAUGGUUCUUGCAAUUAAUUUUCCUUUUCUUUUUUCUUUUUUCUUUUUUUUGAGACUGGAGUCUCACUCUGUCACCCAGUCUGGAGUGCAGUGGCACAGUCUCAGCUCACUGCAACAUCAGAUUCGAGUUCAAGUGAUUCUGCCUCAGCCUCCCAAGUAUGCUGGGAUUAUAGGUGUGAGCCACCGCGCCCGGCCAGUAUUGACUAAAUUCUAUACAUGA
rnacentral:lncRNA from 13 species